AAUGUAGGCAUAAGUAACGAUAAUGCGGGCGAGAAACCCGCACACCGAAAGACCAAGGUUUCCUCAGCUAUGCUAAUCAGCUGAGGGUUAGUCAGGACCUAACGCGAACCCGAACGGGGUAGUGGAUGGACAACGGGUUAAUAUUCCCGUACCUGCUCACACUAAAAGUGACGGAUCUCUGGAGUUGCUGCGUACUGACGGAAUAGUACGUUGAAGCAGUAAUGCGAUAGUACACUAAGGCUACGGCCGCGGUGAUAAUGUAGCGAAGGAGGUUCCAAGAAAAGCGAGUGAAGCAGCCUGUACCGUAAACCGACACAGGUGGUUGGGAUGAGAAUUCUAAGGUGCUCGAGAGAUUCAUGGCUAAGGAACUAGGCAAAAUCGACCCGUAACUUCGGGA
rnacentral:rRNA from 1 species